AGUGAACGCUGGCGGUAGGCCUAACACAUGCAAGUCGAACGGCAGCACAGUAAGAGCUUGCUCUUACGGGUGGCGAGUGGCGGACGGGUGAGGAAUACAUCGGAAUCUACUUUUUCGUGGGGGAUAACGUAGGGAAACUUACGCUAAUACCGCAUACGACCUACGGGUGAAAGCAGGGGAUCUUCGGACCUUGCGCGAUUGAAUGAGCCGAUGUCGGAUUAGCUAGUUGGCGGGGUAAAGGCCCACCAAGGCGACGAUCCGCAGCUGGUCUGAGAGGAUGAUCAGCCACACUGGAACUGAGACACGGUCCAGACUCCUACGGGAGGCAGCAGUGGGGAAUAUUGGACAAUGGGCGCAAGCCUGAUCCAGCCAUACCGCGUGGGUGAAGAAGGCCUCCGGGUUGUAAAGCCCUUUUGUUGGGAAAGAAAAGCAGCAGGUUAAUACCCCGCUGUUCUGACGGUACCCAAAGAAUAAGCACCGGCUAACUUCGUG
rnacentral:rRNA from 1 species